UUUAAUGAGAGUUUGAUCCUGGCUCAGGACGAACGCUGGCGGCGUGCCUAAUACAUGCAAGUAGAACGCUGAGGUUUGGUGUUUACACUAGACUGAUGAGUUGCGAACGGGUGAGUAACGCGUAGGUAACCUGCCUCAUAGCGGGGGAUAACUAUUGGAAACGCUAGCUAAUACCGCAUAAGAGUAAUUAACACAUGUUAGUUAUUUAAAAGGAGCAAUUGCUUCACUGUGAGAUGGACCUGCGUUGUAUUAGCUAGUUGGUGAGGUA
rnacentral:rRNA from 1 species